GAUGAACGCUAGCUACAGGCUUAACACAUGCAAGUCGAGGGGCAGCGGGAUUGAAGCUUGCUUCAAUUGCCGGCGACCGGCGCACGGGUGAGUAACGCGUAUCCAACCUUCCGUGCACUCAGGGAUAGCCUUUCGAAAGAAAGAUUAAUACCUGAUGGUAUGAUGAGAUUGCAUGAUAGCAUCAUUAAAGAUUUAUCGGUGUAUGAUGGGGAUGCGUUCCAUUAGGUAGUAGGCGGGGUAACGGCCCACCUAGCCAACGAUGGAUAGGGGUUCUGAGAGGAAGGUCCCCCCACAUUGGAACUGAGACACGGUCCAAACUCCUGCGGGAGGCAGCAGUGAGGAAUAUUGGUCAAUGGACGAGAGUCUGAACCAGCCAAGUAGCGUGAAGGAUGAAGGUCCUACGGAUUGUAAACUUCUUUUAUAAGGGAAUAAACCCUCCCACGUGUGGGAGCUUGUAUGUACCUUAUGAAUAAGCAUCGGCUAACUCCGUGCCAG
rnacentral:rRNA from 1 species